GACGGAGGGUGCAAGCGUUGUUCGGAAUUACUGGGCGUAAAGCGCGGGCAGGUGGCCCUUUAAGUCCUUUGUGAAAUUCCGGAGCUCAACUCCGGAUGUGCAUAGGAUACUGGAAGGCUAGAGACUGGUAGAGGCGAGCGGAAUUCCCGGUGUAGCGGUGAAAUGCGCAGAUAUCGGGAAGAACACCUAUGGCGAAGGCAGCUCUCUGGGACGGUACUGACGCUGAGACGCGAAAGCGUGGGGAGCGAACAGG
rnacentral:rRNA from 1 species